CGAGCACUGCAAUUUCAGUUUGUCUGCAAUGAUCUGCAAACCACAGACUCUGAAAUGAGCAAGGGGUUAUGUGAAUGUUCCUUACUAAAUGAAACAGAUGCCUCUCAAUACUCAUCUUUGAUAAACAUAUUCUGAGAAUCCUCCAUCCAAUUGUCAGGAGUGAACAGAGGUGUCCUCUUCAGCUCUCAGAGGUGUGGGUUUAGCCACACACUUACCUGUUCACACGUGUUCCUCCUGAGCUGCUUCCCAUCUGCAUCAAACGGAACAGUAGCACUGAGUGCAACCAAGCCAAAGCCUGGAGUCUGAAGCCCUUCAUCUCUCAUCUCUCAGAUUUCAAGAACAAAGAAGCAACGACCUUUUGUCUGCUGCUGUCAUUCCCUGCUUCACCAUUAAGGCUGAAACUUGCCCAAAAAUUAGCACAUUCACACAUAUCAGCAACUGGUACCCAAAAGAGGAAAACUGGGAUGACAUUGUGAAGAAAUCAGUUACAGCAGAGUUGUCUGCUGAAGGAAGGAGAAGAGCUAUCUCUGGGUGAUGUGCAGAGCAUGGCAACUCCCACUGUUGCUAAUAGGAGAAGAGGCUGCUGAACUCCUCUCAGGAAUGUACUGUUUCAAUUUCUAAUUGAGUUAUUCGUUCACUUGUUAAGAACUCAUCUCUUAGGGCAGUGACACUCAAAGACAAUAAUAGUGGCUGCGUUCAGCCACCAGGGAAUUCAUUGCAGCUACGAGACAAAAACUUGCUCUGAUUGUUCAGUUGUUUUGGUUUUAACUGUCAAAACUGUGGCCACCAUCAAUUCAUUGUGAUCACACAUCACAGCUGCUUGUCUGGGGGUUGCUGGUUAGUCCUAUCUCUCUUUUAGGCUACUGGAGCAGGAGUGCCCAAGGUGCAGUCUAAUGGACCAUGUCAACUCAUCUACAGAGCCGUUCUAACACACAUCAUGUGCAUUCCAUCCAUCACACAUUGGCAUUGUCUCUCUAAUGCUUUGAGAAGGAGCAUGAACAGACUGCAGGGUGCUCCGUGGCUCAUUUCAGAGGAAAUGGGGACCCAUCACACCAACAGAUCAUAUUUGCUCUCAGAGCAGGUGUCUGUCAGUCUCCACUUGCAGGUGACCAGUGCUGCCUUCUGUCUAGGUUCCCUGUCCCUGGUUUGCAUGUUCCGGGUCCAUCCUUUUCCUGUGGAGCAACCUCACAGGCAUCAAAACAACACCAAAGCCUGUUUUUCUAAGGAAACAGCAAUGCCAGACUGUGUGCAAAAAAGACCCUAAUCCAAGGGCCUCUCACAGCCAGAUUGACUCAGGCCUAAUCCCCUUCAAGAAAGAUCCUCCUGAUGAGAUGGCUUCUCUUUCAUUGCUGAUAGACAACAAAAUUAAACACAUCAAACAAACUUAUUUUCCAAUGGCGAAGUUGCAAAAUUUCACAUAAAAGAUGCACAUUAUUUUUAUUAGUUUUACUACUUUCCUUUCUUGCCUUUUCCUUUGGUUCUUAUCCAGCUUCUGGAGGAGCCAGUGCACAAGGACAAUCAGGAGCAUGUUUCUGUGAUGGACGCUAAAGGGCAACACCUUCCCUGUUUUACUGCACAAUGUACUGUACUGUUCCCUUACCACAGCUGUUCCUCACAUUGAACAGUUUUCUCUCCUGUAAAUGUUCAGCUUUGUAUUAUUUUUUUAUUAUUUACCAGCAUAACAUCAAACCCUUUAUUUUAACAGCCUCUCUCUAAAGCCCAGCUCUAUAGAAGCAUCUGCUUGUAUGGCUUAACAUAGGACUUGUAUGUGGUUCAAGACCUGCAAAAAAUAACCCAAAAGAGCAGAAGAAACUCAAGUACUUUGACUUUAAUGAAAAACAUUGACUAUGGACAAACGUUAGUAAUGUCUUAACAGUAGGUUACUGCUGCUACCUGCUACUGUAGGACAACUGCUUGCAACAGGAAAAUAGGGGACCUCUGCAAUUCCUGACAUGAUCAAGCAGUCUGUUGGAAACACUUCUUACAAAGAACUGCAGCCCAGGUGAAGUGAGGUCUCCAGGAAAGGCUGCAGCUGAGUUGAGUAAAUGCUGAUGAAGGAAAGUCAACAACAACCUGGGUAGGCCAGAAACAGCAGUGGGAAAUAGACUUUGCUUCUGGGUUUGGGGCUUAUCUCAGGGGGAAGCUGGAUGAGAGUCCCUGUAGCAGAGGUGAAGGCUCAGGACUAAUGAAGCCUGGAUAAGGAGAUGCCAAAGGCUGGCAUUUGAAUUACUGUGUUUUAGGAAGAGAGUUUCUGGCAUUGUGAACCCUUUCAGUAUUUGGGCAGAGAGUCCAGGUGCAUGUGCACAAUCUGUGUAGGACAUGUGCACGGGGCUGGAUGUGCUCCCCCUGAACAGACCUGCAGUGCAGCAUGCAGGGUAUGUCUGCUGCUGCUUGAACCUCUGUUUGCCCUCUCCAUGAGUGCUGGGGGAAUCUCCAGGGUACAUGUGGUGAAGGCACCCAGGUCUGCAGCAUCUGCAGUGGCUGGCAGAGGUUACUGUCCUGCCUGUGGGUUAUGAAAUGCUCACAGUACACCUGAGCAAAGCUUCCAAGAAAGAGAGGAGCUGCAUCUGUGGCAGAUGCCUUUGUUUGCUGGUGAUGAAGGAGCAUGCUGCCAGCACCAGGCUGCUGUACCUGUCUCCAGCUGCUGACCAGAGCCCCUAUUCUGCUACUUCUGGUUUCUCUCAGGUAGGUGGUACCUGUCAGCAAAAUACACAGGCAGCAUAAGUCCCUCAAAAUCUUACUUACUCCUCCUUGUUGUGUAGAGGCUGAAUUCAAGAGAUCUAGGAAGUCACCUGUGGCCAGCUGGGGCUUUGUGCCCAGACCCUCCCCAGUGGUAAGCAAGGCAGCCCUUCCUUCUCCUUUGCUCUCUCAAUCAAAACAAAAAAAAAAAACAAAGGAUUACUCUUUUUUAAGGGUCAUGUGUGUUAAGAUAGCCAGCCCAGUUGUGUCUGGCACUGUAAAUAAGGCUAAGGAAAUUCAGAACUUUUCAAGAUGAGGCAGCAGCUAAGCAUAUGCUUUGGAGUGGUUUUUUUUUCCAAAUCAUUAUUUUUUUAAUAAAAGAGUCGGUUUUCUCUAAGUCAAAAUCUCUUUCAGUUUGCAUUCCUCCCCCACCCCAAACAGAAUGUAAUCAAAUGAAGCUGGCUCAAAAUACCUUUGUGAUGCUUCCCAAAAUGCCAUUAAGAACCCACGUCUUUUAUGGCAAGUCACUUUUAAGGCUCACAUAUAUCUGUUUUGUGGGGUGUGUGGGGUAGUAUUCGAUGGAUGCAUGCAUCCUAGGCCACAGAACUGCAACUUCAGAAUCUUCAACUAAACAAAUCCACCUUUACUCAGAACAGCUUCUGCUUUCAGCAGUGAAGGCAGCCUACAUACUGUGAAACUGCUGAAGAAAAUCCAAAACCUAGAAGGUGUUUUUUCCCUAAUAAUACUUCAGUUUGAAAAUGCACCAAGCCAACAGCAGCAUAAGGGCACAGAGCAGCAGCAUGUGAAUACAAUACAGGGCAUUCUCAGCUAUGACAUGAUCUCCUCUCUUUCAGAAAGGAUAAAGGUUUCUGGCAUUUUAAGCCCAAAUCUGAUUUUACUAGAUCUGUUUUAUCUUGAAUUCACUGUUUUGCACCUAUUUCUAGCACAUAUACCACAUGUUGAUUAGAAGAGACAGCUGUGCUGGAGAAACCAAUCUGCAAAGUAACCAUGUACACUGGCUAACACCAGCCACAAGGGAGGGGCAUGGCAGCUUGCUUCUGAGCUUAUCCUAAAUCCUUUGCUCCCCCAGAAGUGCCAAGGGCUUGUGGUUAAGGCUGGGCUUCCUCCAGGUGAGGAGGGAACUGGGGUAUGGGGCGAGCUCUGCCAGCUCCCCGGGGUUUGCCUGCACAAGCAGAAGGGCUGCAGUGAGCCUGCCCUUGCGCACGAGGGAGGGAGCUGGGGGGUGCAGCCCUCAGUGCUUGUCAAUCCAUAGCUGUGAGACAAUAUUUUAUGCUUCUCUGGCAGAUUUGAUAUGAUCAGCUUUGUUUUCCAGCACUGCUGUGGAGAUUUGCCAUCAACUUCUUCGUUGCAUCGUCACUCUGUCCUCCUCCCCUCCCUGCCCUCUGCCCCCUUAUUGGUGCCCCUCCACCUUCCCCCUGCUCAAUCACACUCAACAAGACAUUCUGAAUUUUCCAUAUCUACUUUUUUUUUUUCUUUCCCCCCUCUUUUGUCUUCUGGUAACAGUGUUUGGCAUUUCCCGGACAGCCCGUACUCCAUAAGGCCUCAGUGUCUGAAUAUGAGGACGGCUUGAACGUUGCCUGCUGAGACUGAAGAAGAACUUGAGUUAAAAUAAUCCUCUCUUUUGUUCCGCUUGGGUUGCUUUUUGUUUGCCUGACAGAUGUUCGGCCCCUGUGCGUGUGCAAGGAGCGGCUCCUCCGCCAGGCCCUCUGAUCCGCCAGCUUAUUGAUUUCUGCCUAUCUGUGCGGCUUGUCUCCAGCCCUUACAGAUGCGAGGGCUGGGGCAGCAGCCCCUCUCCUUCACACACAAAUAGGGCAAUCCUCUAUUGUGAGGGGGCCAGCGAAGGAAAGUGAGCCUCACUCCCUCUUGAGCCAUUGUGACAAAUUCAGGCGGGUUUUGGGGGGCAGAGGGGAGAUAGGCAUGAAGGACCAAGGCUGCGUUCUGACAGCUUGUGACGCUACCACACAGGUGCCUGAGUAAACGGGAAGGAAGGCCUCAGAGCUUUGCACUGUGCCUGUGUGUUAUCUCAAGUUCAUAUUCAGUCCUUUUACUGGGGAAUGUCAGGAUCAAAGUGGUGGCCAGGCAAAAUCUUGAAAAUCGCAGUUUUGCUCUGUUCCUCCUAAAUGGCAUUGCUGUGCACUGCUCCAAGUUUCACUGACUGGACCAACCCUGAAGUCACUGCAUGCAAGACUUCCAUCUUGCAGUUAAUGGCCUUGUAAGCCACAUGUAAUGCUGUUCUUCUAUCUUGCUUUUUUUUGUUUGUUUUGUUUUGGCUUGAUUUUCUGCCUCCUGAGUAGUGUGUCAGGGUGCUCUGCAAGAGAAGCGUGCUACGGACCUGUAUCCACAUUUUGGCAUACAGUUGCAGGCUCACUUUGCUGAUGACAGAAGUUUGGCUUUUGUUUAACCCUUGACAUAAGUCUGCAGAGGUCUGACCUGUCACUGGCUCUAGUGCUCUGGAUGGAGUGCAGAAAAGGAGGCAGUUGUUGUGCAGCACUCAGCUGUCCCCCCUCAUUAAGCCCAUGUCCCUGGAAAGCAGUCAUUGUGCUUACUGCCCACCACAUCCCUGUGACAGCAGCUCUUCACUGGUGUCUGUAAUGCACGUGCGUAGAGGAUGCACUCCCAAGAAACACCCCUUUAUCUGGGGCUGGGACAAAGGCUAUAAGGGCAGCUCCAGGGUGUGUAUCUCCCACCCUGCCAGCAUUUUGCAUCUGCAGUGAGCUCCCUGUCUGCAGAGUAGCUUUUCUACUCUGCACCAGGUUGCUCUGCCUUGUCUUCCCUCUCUCUAAAGCACAACAUUUAUUACUGUGCAUAUCAGAAUCUCCAGAGCUGUGACUGUGUGGUAGCUAGGAAUGGCACAUCCUUUGGUUUCAUUGAUGCUACCAGGCACUAGGUUAUCAUUUACUGCCACAGUAGCUGGGCACCAGUUUAUUGAAAGCUACCUAGUUAUGUAUUAAUGACCUGCUGUUUGACAGAUUUUACCCCACAGAAACAAAUACAGACAAGUUUCUAGUGUACAAAGUUCAUCUAUUCUCCUCCUGAAGUGUUGCUCUUUGCUCACAAGGGUUGGGGUAGCUCGGUUUGGACUUGUUAAGGCAAAACUCGCACUCUGACAUGUUGUGGUCUGUUAGAUCUUACAGAGAGGCUGUCAAGAGCUGGCAGAGAUACUUCACAUGGUGUCAAGUGAUUUAUACUAACAUGAAAAGCAGGGAGAGAGUUUGCAGCCUGUGGUGGCCUGCAUUGCAGCUCCAGCUAUGUUAUGGUUACUGGAUCUGAGGCUGAAACCACGGUAUGGUGCCUCACAGUCGUUGGUGGGUGCUUCCCACCAACAGCUUACUGGGACAGGGGUCAGUCAGAGCUGAUGGCAAAGGAGGUGACACUGUGUAAUACUUCUUUGAAUAAUGACUAGCAGUAGGCUGGGAAGAGAGACUUGGACAGCAUCCAUGGGGCAGAACAGAUGUUCCACACAGUCACAUGAGCUCCUGCUGCCCACAUCCCUCUCAGUGUACUGCAGCAUCACAGGGGUCCCCUUCACUCUCAUGAUUAACAUGAACAAAGGGUCCUCUCAGCAUCAGCUCAGGUCUUGAGAUUUCCUUUUAUGAUCUGUCUGUCAUGCAGUCCAAGAGGGGUGUGUUUAUGGGUCUUUAAUUUAGGGAAAAAAACUUUGACAAGCCACAGUGAAUUCAGUAGCCAGCAACUUUCAUUACUCUGUUAGUCUUGGAUUCUCCUUGACACAUACGUAAAAAUAAGGGAAAGUGGCUCAUUUGGAAAGAAGAGCUGUGUAAAAUGCUCUCUGGUUUGACAAGUGGGGCCUUGCCAUGCCUUUGGGACAUUCUAUUUGAUGUGUCUUUCAGUGUCAACAGGAGAGGACUGUAACUGCUGAGAACUACUCAAUGCACACUCUGCAAAGGGAAUUUUAUCUUGGGAGCAUCACCUAAAUACUCUGUUAAUUGGAUUGUGUCUUAGUGACAUUUAAGGUGUUGGGCUCAACAUGCUGAAAACAAGAGUUCUGAGGCUAAUCAUCCAGAGAGCUUACCUGUAGCAAGCUGUGGGGAUGGCCAGACUCCUAUUUCAAACCAGGAGGGACAGCGGGUGAUGUACGAACUGGUACCCAAGGGAGAAUGAAGAGGAGAAAAAAUUCCAAAAUCCAUAUCCCUUGAUCCUCUGCAGUGAUCACACCUGCAGGUCAGGAUGUGGAGUGAUAAAAAUUUCCUCUGGCUUUCAGGAAGGGAAUGCCUUGUGGGUGUAGGAGGAUCAGUGAAUACAGCUCUGUGUAUUGGGUGGUGUCUGUAGGACAAUGUAACUCACGGCCUGGAACAAGUGAUUUUGUACACGUGCAUUUUUGCAAAGGCCAUAUUAUAACUCUCUUGAGGCUCUGUUGGACCAAUAAUAUGGUAGGAGUUAUGUACAGCAGUUGUAUUUCAUAGAUGGUACCUGAAACCCAAGCUGUGCCCAUGCUGAGUGUUAGAAAGGGAAAAAUCAGUAUUUGGAUUAAUUCCUUUCACUUGUUUCUGCUUUACUCUCACCGCCCUUCCCCUUGCUCCACAGCCUGUGGGUGAUGUUGUUGUUUGCAGGGCUGUGUGCGAGCUAUUCUGUGACUUUUCUUUAAUAGCAGUUCUUUGAAAGUCUGCUGCUCCUGUAAUGGGGGUUGAGCGCAGUUGCGUCACUGUUGUGAUGGUCUGUCAAGCCAUCUAAUUGGUUUGUCUCAUUAAAACUUACAAUUGGCGUUUACAAGGCAGCAGUCCUGUAGUCCAACACUGUAGCUGGAGCCACACUGGCUGACCAAGUGCUUGCACGUGGGUUGGGAUGUGGAUGGAAAACUGUGUCUCUCAUGAACUACCCCACAGCUCCUAAGAUAAAGCUUGAAUGUAUCAGGCCACCUCUGACUUCACCUUCUCUGUAGCGAGACUAAGUGGAGGAACUCAGCUAAAUUCAACAAACAGGUGGUUUUUAAUCUCCAGUUCAGAGCCAAGACUGCUGGGAUCUCAAACUGGACACUCAAGGGCUAUCCACUAGUUGCUGCUGGGUAGCUUGGCCUGUUGGAUGUUCUUUUGUUAGCAAGAGCAUGAGGAGGAAAUGGUGCAAGAAAAGGGCAGAUUUGUGUAGCCUCUUAUCAAAACUAAAUUCUUGGAGUAGUUCCAAAAUGCAUUUUGUCUCUGAAUGGGAACAUUCAUGAAAACAACCCUCUACCUGUUCAGGUCAAAAUAUUAGUUAAAACAUUGCAAGUGCAUUCUCUUAUGAAAAGUCUAUUUUUUAUUUUAUUUUAACCUGAGCCAACUAGCCAAAAGGACCUCACUUACUUCAGGAAUCUGAUUCAUUGUCUUUUUAAAAUUUAAAUUGCAAUGAUGACUUCUAGCAGCAUAGUUAAAUUUAUCUGUGAGCAAAAACUGGAGUUCAGAGCUCUAGGUUUGUGCAGUGAACAUCAGUGUAGCUUUUCUGCUAACACUGGACUUAAACUAAGCACUGGGCUUGAACUAAACCACCAGAAACCCCUGUUAAAUGUUUGUGCAGGAAUUUUAUGGGUUAAAUCAGAUAUAUGAAUGCCAACAUAUAUAAACUGCUUUGGCCGCUGUAACUCCCCAGCUGCUCAGACAAGAGCAUCUUGUCUGUUUGGUGCUUUGCUGUGUUUGAUGGAGAGCAUCUCUUUGACAGAGAGGCAUCUUAACAGAGAUGGAGGACACCACAGCCACUGACUUUAAAGGCUGCAGAGCCAAACAAAAUACAUUGAGUGGUUUAGAUGUAACAGCCUGCACUGAAUCAGGAGUCUCUCUAUUCAAGGCUGUAAGCUUAAUAGCUCUGCACUGAGGGCCUGGAGAAAUGAGGGGGAAACCAGGUCCUCCUGUUCCUGUGGAAAUGCUUUUGUCUGCAAUUGAGCUAUGCACCAGCUGAAAACACUUUGCAUCACCCUUUAAAAUGCUUUCACUUCAAAUUUUGUGGGUUAGCUCAGGGUAAGCAUUUCUCUUGGCUUUUGAGAAAAGCCAUAAAAACCUACACUUUGUGACUUAUUUUAAAACAGAGAAUGAAAACACAUUGCAUGGCCCUUCCAAAGACAAAUGAUCUUUAAUUUUUAAAAAUCCCAUCUAAUUGUCAUUAAUCAAGCCAUCUCCUGUGCUAAUAAGAUGGAGGCAGGGAAUGGAAUGUCAUUCCAGCUCAGGCAGCUGUUGUGCAUGUCAACCAGUUUCAAAAUGCUUGGCAAAAGUUGUAAAUGCAGUUCUAAUGAGAUUGGCUUGUCUGCAACUAGCAAACACAUACCAGCCACACCAAAACGUUUGUUUGCUAUGGGACUUAGUGGAGAUUGUGUUAGCCGUUCUGCAUUCAAGGGUACAUGUCAAGAAAAGUUCAGAUCAAGCACAAGGCAGUGACACUGGAAUGCAGCUUUCUCCAAAAUGAUCACUUAUAUAAACCCUGAAAAAAAAGGCUCCACUUCAUUUCAUGGUUUUUGUUGUGUGUGGGGGGCAUUUCCCCAUCAGGACCCUUAACUUUCUGGUAUCUUGGUGCAUGAGGUUCUCUGCAAAGGCUGCAUAAACAAGCUACAAACAGAAGUGUGUUUCCUGCUGGGAUGUUUGAGGAUGGGCUCCUGGUAGGGGACUGACUUUGGAGGCACUCUACAGCAUCUCCCACCUGCCAGGUACCCCCAGCUGGUUAUGCCUCCAUCAGCUGCCCAGGUUGGAGAGGAGGUGCCCAGCUGAGCCACCCAGGGGCUCCAGUAUGGGAGUGUAGCCUUGAAAGAGCAACGACCAGCUCGAUCAUCCACCCAAUCUGACUGCCAAGCUGAUCACAGCCAGCUUCCACGAAGCCUGGUCAAACAGAGGAUUGGUCCAGAGGGGCUGUAAUCCUGUUCAGCUAAGCCACGUCACUGGCCCAGGCACUGUGUGUGUCACAUACCCACACCUGGGUGGGCAUCUAGGUGAAUCAGCACAUUGGUGAUUUCUUGUGGAACCAUCAGAAUCACCAAACCUGUGCAGCUGCAGAAAGCUAAGCAACAGAAAUACCUAUGUUUCAGGGAUGGCAGGUCCCAGGAGCCACUAGCACUUUACCUCCACUGUGAAGUAUCUAUGUAACAGCACAAACUUCAACACCUUGUUGCUUUUCCUCAGCACAGAAGGGAAUCCUGUUUUUUAACGUUCCUUUUAUGGUGCUUGGAGCUCAAGUACAAAGGACUGGUUAAAUUUCUGGUACCGUGACUACUCUCUUGCCAGUAGCCCUUUAAUCUGUGUCUUGUGCCAAAGAAUAUUAAUUAUUGUAGGCUACAGUGAAGUCCAUCCCUACCCCCACUUGAGCCUCUGAAAUGAACAGUGAAGUUGAACUUUGCCAGCAACUGUUAGGAAAAGGGCCAAGAACAGCCUAACAGGAAAGAUACUCAGGAUUUUUUGUUUGUUUUUUCUGCUAAACCAUGUUUUUGUAAUUAUGAAUACUUUGUUGAAAUUGCUUGGAAAAGGAAGUACACAGAAAAUGGUCCAUACAAUUGAACUAACUACAUAUUAGUGUUGAAAGAAUAUAAAACUGGUCUCACUCUGUUGCACUCACACAGACAAAACCCCUUCUCAGAAGGAAUUUGGCUUGAGAAGAGAGAUCUGGAGACCAAUCUUAGUUAACUUCAGGCCCAUGUGCCUUAUUGUCUGGUUUACGACUGCCCCAAAUGGGCUAAAAGCAAAGGACAUUCACACUAAACAAAAGCAAUGGCUGAAAGAAAGAGAAAAGAGGAAUUUGAAAGCUGUCAUUUCCAAAUCCCUUCUACUCAAAAGUUGGUUCCUGAUUUUUGAUAAGGGACCCUGAAUAAGGCAGCAGUUAGUUUUUAGGAGCAUAAAGUAUCUUCAACCAGACUGGAGAGAAACAGACUACUUUAUUUUGCUUGGAUUCAUGUGAAUACUGCUUUAAUCAGUCCCCACCUGCUCCUGCCACCUCUCCCCAAGUUUAGAUUUGUAAAAUCCCGAAUUGCUAAAAACAGAGAAAAAAAUUGCCAAAGCAGCUUGCAAGGAUGUAUGAUUACAGGUAUCAAAAAAAGGUUUAUCAAAUGUGGAAAAUUACAACUUUGUCCCCUAAGUAAAUAAAUACUUAAGAAUAUAAAGGAAUAAGAUGCUGUAGGACCACUUCAAACUACUGUGUUUUAUAAUUUCCACUUAAAUGCUUUUCUCUAGUCAGCAGCCUGGUCCUGGCUCCCAUCACACUAAGGCAUAUGUAAUGUUACAGGCAUAUCUCAGUGUAAAAGGAAAAAUGUCACCCUAGAGUGAGAAAGCUUGGUAUUUGGUUUAUAUAACAUCAUCUUAUGAUUCAGCCUCAAGAAAGUCUUGGUUUUAGUUAGAAGAAAAUUAAACUUAUACCUGACUGAUAUAGUGAACUAAGCUUUUAGAAGCAUAUAUGCAAUAUUUAUGUCCUGUCAAGCACUUUCACUUUCCAUAGUAACAAGCCCCCUCUUCCGUAUAUGAAAUGGACUUGAUGCAUAAACAAUAUUGCUGGAAACACGUCCAAAAUUAAUAAAGACUUUGCUUUACAA